AUGCUGGAGGUAUCAGAAGUGCGAAUGCUGACAUAAGUAACGAUAAAGCGGGUGAAAAGCCCGCUCGCCGGAAGACCAAGGGUUCCUGUCCAACGUUAAUCGGGGCAGGGUGAGUCGACCUCUAAGGCGAGGCCGAAAGGCGUAGUCGAUGGGAAACAGGUUAAUAUUCCUGUACUUGGUGUUACUGCGAAGGGGGGACGGAGAAGGCUAUGUUGGCCGGGCGACGGUUGUCCCGGUUUAAGCGUGUAGGCUGGUUUUCCAGGCAAAUCCGGAAAAUCAAGGCUGAGGCGUGAUGACGAGGCACUACGGUGCUGAAGCAACAAAUGCCCUGCUUCCAGGAAAAGCCUCUAAGCAUCAGGUAACAUCAAAUCGUACCCCAAACCGACACAGGUGGUCAGGUAGAGAAUACCAAGGCGCUUGAGAGAACUCGGGUGAAGGAACUAGGCAAAAUGGUGCCGUAACUUCGGGAGAAGGCA
rnacentral:rRNA from 1 species